CUUUAAAUCGUUAUUGGCCUUUCUCUCUUGGAAUCACAUUUGAAAGCCCAAGGUACAAAGGUAAAAACUUUUUAAUCGAUUCAUCUUCAGUCAAAAUGGCUCAACAUAACGCAGCACAAACAGACGUUACACAGAGUCCUUCAAGCGUAGACGUGCAAGGCAGAGGAGCUUGAUUGGUUUUCAGCCUUUCUCUUGAUGCACGUGAUGCUGCACGGAAAGUCGAGCGUGAGAGGAGACUGCAAGAGAUGCGCCAGAUGCAAGAACUGCAAUGGUGUUCAACAUUUAAA